rnacentral:lncRNA from 1 species
GGAUUUAUUAUCCGAGCUCGUGCCAAAGGCUUUUAAAAGACCUUCAAUUUGCUCGUCCAAACUUGGAUUACUCAGAAAAUAGAAUUUGAAUCUCAAGAAUCUGCAAGAAUAGGUCCAAGAAAGCAAGAAGAGCCCCGACCAUAUCUGGUUCUAGUUUAGGAAGAGAAUAGAGAUGCAGUCCCGCUCACCCAUGCGGGAACUGCACUAAACUAGGAAAAACUGAGUUGGGAUUCUCUUGAGGAGGCUUGAAGCCCUCUCCAUGAACUCCAACUAACAUGCAAAAUAAAAACAAAAAAGAGAUUGAAAAUACAGCUAUAAACAAAGAAGGAUUCUCCUUACUACAAGCCAUCUUCUAGUUUUCUAAAGUUGUUUCCCCAAAUUUGCAACAAGAAGAAAAGUCUGCAUGGCUACGCAAUAAGAAGAUGAAGAGAGGAAGAAUGUCGAAGAUGAGUAGAAAAAGCAAACUAAAAAGAGAGAAGAUGAAGAAGAUCAUACAACAUUGGAGAGUGAGUGGUCCAAAUGAGGUAAAGUCUUACUUGAUUUCUAAAUUCCCAAAUUGUUUACAACUUUGGAAGAAGUAAUAUGUCCAUCCACUACCUCCACAAAGAAUUAAAUAAUAAAGAGAUUAGAAGAUGAAGCCAUUUAGAAUACAAGUGUCAAAGGGAAAAGGGAGUCUAAGUCUAUCAAAGAAUAGGAGUCUAGCAAAGUUAAUUCCAGAAUUUUUUAUAUUGUAAUUUUCUUUUAGUUUUUGAGUUUUAGUUAAAUCAAAUUUCAGUAUUUUAUUGAGAUUAAAACUAAGAACUAUAUUUAGGAAUCUUAUUUCCUGAUUUGAGUCAAAUAAAGAUGGUCAACUCUAUAAAUAGAGGCCACCACUCCUUCUUGUAGAGACAAUUCAAACUUCAAUAAUAUUCAGAUUAUCUUGCUUUACUUUCAAACUUCCAAGAGUGAGUUCAGUGAACGUGUCUUCGACCGACUUGUUGAGCAAUGAAUUGAGAUCACUUAUCGAGAUAAGUCUCGUAGUGCCUUUUCAAUUCCAAAUUUUCUCAUUUCCCUUUAAAAUUAGUUUUUACUCCCUUAUUGAGUGCAAGUCAAGUAGAGAGGGUUUACUUAGAGUUUUGAAUUUCUAGUUACUGAUGUACAUGCAGAGUUUUAGAUUACAUUGUUGAUCCCGGGUUCCGCUUCACUAUCUCAUAGAUAAUUUUGGAUUAUGUGGCAUUCAUCUUUAGAUGAAAUUUUAAGGUCUAAGUGUCAGUGUCUUAAUUAUAUCGUAACUGUGAUCUUGAUUUAUGAAUCAUAUUGUAUUGUAUCAUAUUAUAUCGUAGCGUGUUAGAGAAAUUGUGUGGAAUAUGAUUUGUGCCUAAAUUUUAUGAUAUGUUGGAAAAUGUGAAAAAUUAAUUUGAAAUAAAUAUGGAAAGAUAGUAAUGGAGUUCGACUAAUUUAGGUUGACACAUUAACUUAAUUAUAUAAGAAAUUGAGAGUACUAAACAAAAAGGGACAUUUGUGUUGAGAUAAGUUAAUCUAAUUUUGUGAGAUAUAAACAGUUUUCAACAAUGAAAUUUUUUAUAUAAAAAAAUAUGGUUAAUUGGUAGGUAAUUAAGAUAAAUGUAAGGGACUUAUAUGUAUUUUUAUUCAGUUCGGUAAAUUGAGAUUUUUAAUUUCUCUUACCGAACAGGUGUAACUCAUAACAAUCUAUCAUUUUAGAAGAAGAUAACCAAGAGCUGACUCAAGAACAACAAGAACAGUCAGUAAAUUGGAGUUUUACUCUCUGUGUGACAUUAUUAAAUAACAUUGUCACUCAAGGAGACAGAGAUCCAACUGAUGAACUUAUGUGAUGAAUUUUAUUAGCCGUAUAAAUUUUACAAAUAGUUAAGAGAAAUGAAAACUCAUGAUUUUAUCAAACAAUUCAUAUAUAUGCACAUUUCAAACAUGAAAUUCACAAUAUGAAUUAUCAAGGGAUUAAAUCCAUUCAAUUAAUUUUAUCAACAAAAAAAAAAAAAAAUUCCAUCCAGCUAAUUUUGUUUUAAAAUGUAAAACCCGCAUGAUCUUUUUCUCAAGGCAAGCUAUAAAAUAUAUGUGCAUGACAUUAAUUGAUAUCAAAUUAUAUUUGUAUUGGAGCGUCGGCAAAUCAUUCAUUUUCCAUUUUGGUUUUUUUUUUUUUUUUUUUUUUGAAAUUACAUGAGGGUUAUAUAUAUUACAUAGCUAGUCAAUUAGGACAUCAAAAUGUAGUUGGUCCAAUUUGGUCACUACAUAUAUUCGAUAUUUGGUGCUUGUCAUAUAGUUUUUAACUGUAUAUAUUAAAUGUUUGGUGUAGUUUCUGCCAACAAAUCCAUAUCUUAUUGUUAAGAUUUUCCACUUUCUAUUCUUAAGAUUCUAGUGUCAUUUCCCAUACUUUAUCUCUUUCUAUUUAAAUAAUAUUAAUAAUAAAACCAAAGUAAAUAAUUUGACAACAAUAAUGAAUCUUUAUUUAAAAUUAUUUUUUUUUACGAUUUUUGUUGUGAGAAAGGUUUAUUUACUAUUUUAAAAACUUAAAAUUAAGUUAUUAAAUGGUAAAGUAUAUUUUUAUUUAAAUUUAUUGUGAGUUUGAAAACUAGAAGUUAUCAAGUUCAGCCGUAGAUAAUUGAAGUAUGAUUUUAUUUUUAUUUAGGUUUAAUAUUUUUAUUUUUAUAAUUCAGUCAUAAAUUACGUUAUAAUUUAACAUAAAUUAUUUCUUUCCGUGAUUCAUUCGAGUAUUUAAUUAUUUUGAUAUAAAACUAGUUAAUUAUUUUUUGUAAAAUUAUCUGUAUUUUAAUAUUCAAUUGAACUUUUGCAAUGUUAAUUAAUGAUUUUAUCACAACCUUAAAUAAAAAUAUAUAUAUAUAUAUAUACAGCCAGAGACAGCUUCGCCACAUCCUGCAGCAUUAGGCGAGGUUACUCACUCUGUUCGUAUGUUUUCGUACAGUGCUUGAAAGACAGACUUCGCCACCUGAUUGAAAGCGGAAUCACUAAGGGGGAGUGGAUGCCUCUCAAAAUGGGUCCAUGGUGUCCCUCUCUCCCAUCUCUUCUCCAUGGAUGGUCUUUUUUUUUUUAUUUUAUUCCGGAGGCUUCAGUUGAGCAAAUUUUGGCUAUCAAGA